rnacentral:rRNA from 1 species
AUUGAACGCUGGCGGCAGGCCUAACACAUGCAAGUCGAACGAGUGGCGGACGGGUGAGUAAUGUCUGGGAAACUGCCUGAUGGAGGGGGAUAACUACUGGAAACGGUAGCUAAUACCGCAUACCAUCAGAUGUGCCCAGAUGGGAUUAGCUUGUUGGUGGGGUAACGGCUCACCAAGGCGACGGUCCCUAGCUGGUCUGAGAGGAUGACCCAGCACACUGGACUUGGAACAGGGCCCAGACCCUAACGGGGGGAAGCGUGGGGGAAUUUUGACAAUUGGGGCAAGCCCGAUGCAGCAAUGCCGGGUGAAUGAAGAGGGCUUUCGGGUGUAAAAUUCUUUUCGGGGGGAGGCGUUACCCGCAGAAGAAGCACCGGCUAACUCCGUGCCAGCAGCCGCGGUAAUAC